rnacentral:tRNA from 1 species
GGAUAGGUGGCAGAGUGGUCUAACGCAGCGGUCUUGAAAACCGCCGCCCAUGAAAGUGGGCCGUGAGUUCGAAUCUCACCCUAUCCG